rnacentral:lncRNA from 1 species
UUUUUCUUUUCUUUUGUAACACAUUUUCUUUGAUUUUCAUUUGUGUGUCAAAUGACUUUCAAUGUUUUUCUUUUUCUUUUUCAAUCACCAUCUUCAACAUCUCAUAUUUUUCAACUACUACUUCUUUUUUUUUACUCAAACAAAUAACCUCUUUCUCCCCAACUUGUUUUCAACCCUACUUAAAUUCAAUGCUCAAUCAUCCUAAGACAAGGGUUAAGUCAUUGUUUUUCUUUAUUGUGGUUCAAGGGUUCAAAAUCAAACAAAAUUUC